UCAAACUUGGUCAUUUAGAGGAAGUAAAAGUCGUAACAAGGUCUCCGUAGGUGAACCUGCGGAGGGAUCAUUACCGAGUAUCCGGGACUAACCGAGCCCGAACUCUCCAACCCUUGCGAACUGAAUAUUGUUGCUCUGGCGGGUCGUGGUUAGCAAUCAGCGAAACCCCACCGGCCCUGGCUGGUGCGUGCCCACCAAAGGUCCACACCAAACCCUUUGAAAUCAGUCUGAUGAAUGGGAUAAAUUUCAAAAAACUUUCAACAAUGGAUCUCUUGGUUCUGGCAUCGAUGAAGAACGCAGC
rnacentral:misc_RNA from 1 species